rnacentral:rRNA from 1 species
GACGAACGCUGGCGGCGUGCUUAACACAUGCAAGUCGAACGGAAAGGCCCUGCUUUUGUGGGGUGCUCGAGUGGCGAACGGGUGAGUAACACGUGAGUAACCUGCCCUUGACUUUGGGAUAACUUCAGGAAACUGGGGCUAAUACCGGAUAGGAGCUCCUGCUGCAUGGUGGGGGUUGGAAAGUUUCGGCGGUUGGGGAUGGACUCGCGGCUUAUCAGCUUGUUGGUGGGGUAGUGGCUUACCAAGGCUUUGACGGGUAGCCGGCCUGAGAGGGUGACCGGCCACAUUGGGACUGAGAUACGGCCCAGACUCCUACGGGAGGCAGCAGUGGGGAAUAUUGCACAAUGGGCGGAAGCCUGAUGCAGCAACGCCGCAUGCGGGAUGACGGCCUUCGGGUUGUAAACCGCUUUCGCCUGUGACGAAGCGUGAGUGACGGUGAUGGGUAAAGAAGCACCGGCUAACUACGUG